rnacentral:rRNA from 1 species
AUAUUUGUCGGGUUAAUUCCGUUAAAGAACGAGACCACAGCCUACUAAAUAGUAAGUGUUAUGGUAACAUAGUAUGAGACUUCUUAGAGGGACAUUUCGGGUUUACCGAAAGGAAGUUUGUGGCAAUAACAGGUCUGGGAUGCCCCUAGAUGUUCUGGGCCGCACGCGCGCUACACUGACGACUUCAACAAGUUUUUUGGCAUUGCCAAAUUUCCUUGGCCGGAAGGUCUGGGUAAUCUUUUAAAAGGUCGUCGUGAUGGGGCUAGAUUCUUGCAAUUAUUAAUCUCCAACGAGGAACC